rnacentral:rRNA from 1 species
CCUACGGGUGGCUGCAGUGGGGAAUCUUGGACAAUGGGGGCAACCCUGAUCCAGCGACGCCGCGUGGGUGACGAAGGCCUUCGGGUUGUAAAGCCCUUUUGCCGGGGGCGAUGAUGACGGUACCCGGCGAAUAAGCACCGGCUAACUCCGUGCCAGCAGCCGCGGUAAGACGGAGGGUGCUAGCGUUGUUCGGAAUCACUGGGCGUAAAGGGCGCGCAGGCGGCCAGGUCAGUCGGGCGUGAAAGCCCGGGGCUCAACCCCGGAACGGCGCCCGA